UACGUAGGGGGCUAGCGUUGUCCGGAUUUAUUGGGCGUAAAGAGCGUGUAGGCGGCCAGGUAGGUCUGCUGUGAAAACUCGAGGCUUAACCUCGAGAUGUCGGCGGAAACCAUCUGGCUAGAGUGCAGAAGGGGCAACUGGAAUUCUCGGUGUAGCGGUGAAAUGCGUAGAUAUCGAGAGGAACACCUGCGGCGAAGGCGGGUUGCUGGGCUGACACUGACGCUGAAGCGCGAAAGCUAGGGGAGCGAACGGG
rnacentral:rRNA from 1 species